CUUAGUCAUUGCACCUCCAACUCGAGGGAGGAAGUUCGAUAAUGAGCUGACAGGACUGAGCGUGAUCGAAAUUGUUUGGAGUCUUUGGUGAACACUGGGUGUCCAACAUAAACACCUGCACAGGAAGAAGUCAGAUUUCACUCGACCUGAUUAUAAGGAAUGGGCUGAAGUGACAUCUACUGUAAAAGCAAAACAUUUGAUGAAAAGAUCUAUACAUGUCUGGGGAAAAGAAACUAAGGAAGGAGAAAAAGGCCAUGACCAACA